rnacentral:rRNA from 1 species
GACGAACGCUGGCGGCGCGCUUAACACAUGCAAGUCGAGCGGGAACCGGGCCUUCGGGCCCGGGGACAGCGGCGAACGGGUGAGUAACACGUGGGUAAUCUGCCCUCGGUACUGGGAUAGCCCGGGGAAACCCGGAUUAAUACCGGAUAGCCCUUCGAGCCUUCGGGCUCGCAGGAAAAGGUAGCUUCGGCCUCCGACCGAGGAUGAGCCCGCGGCGGAUUAGCUGGUUGGUGGGGUAACGGCCUACCAAGGCGACGAUCCGUAGCUGGUCUGAGAGGACGAUCAGCCACACUGGGACUGAGACACGGCCCAGACUCCUACGGGAGGCAGCAGUGGGAAUCUUGCCCAAUGGGCGAAAGCCUGAGGCAGCGACGCCGCGUGCGGGAAGAAGGCCCUCGGGUUGUAAACCGCUUUCAGGAGGGACGAAGCCACUCGGGUUAAUAGCCUAGAGGGUGACGGUACCUCCAGAAGAAGCCCCGGCUAACUACGUGCCAGCAGCCGCCGCGG